GCUGCUGCUCCUCGGGCUGCUGCUGCUCGGCUCCCGGCCGGCCCGCGGCGCCGGCCCCGAGCCCCCCGUGCUGCCCAUCCGUUCUGAGAAGGAGCCGCUGCCCGUUCGGGGAGCGGCAGGCUGCUCCUUCGGCGGGAAGGUCUAUGCCUUGGACGAGACGUGGCACCCGGACCUAGGGGAGCCCUUCGGGGUGAUGCGCUGCGUGCUGUGCGCCUGUGAGGCGGUGAGUGCACCCCGCGGCCGGCCCGGGCCCUGGCGGGUGGGGAGCGCCGGGUCGCGCCGGCGUCGGAGUGGAUUCGGAGCUGCUGAGAAGGAGCCCAGUCGGCAGAUGUUGGGGAUAUUUUUCUGGUGGAGGAAGGGGAAUCAGCCCCUUCAAUUCUUAGGUGCUGUUACUGAUCGCCCACUCUGUGUGAGGCUCUGUGUCAACUCCGUUUCGUUCCCUGCUCAUCUAACUCUCAUGGCAGCCUUGCUAGAUAGAGAGUAUUAUUAUCCCCAUUUUCCAGACAGGGACCUUGAGGCCCAGAGAGAUGAAGUAGCUUGUCUAGGGUCACGCAGCUUGUAAGUGGCAGAGCUGGCUGACUCUGCGGG
rnacentral:sRNA from 1 species